GAUGAAGAACGUAGCGAAAUGCGAUAAGUAAUGUGAAUUGCAGAAUUCAGUGAAUCAUCGAAUCUUUGAACGCACAUUGCGCCCGCCAGUAUUCUGGCGGGCAUGCCUGAUCGAGCGUCAUUUCAACCCUCAAGCCCAGCUUGGUGUUGGGGAUCGGCACAGGCGCCCUCGGGCGCCCGCCGUCCCCUAAAUCUAGUGGCGGUCCCGCUGCAGCCUCCUCUGCGUAGUAGUUUUCUCCUCGCAAGGGCAGCUCGGUGGCGACCUCGCCGUAAAACCCCCAACUUCUGAAAGGUUGACCUCGAAUCAGGUAGGAAUACCCGCUGAACUUAAGCAUAUCAAUAAGCGGAGGA
rnacentral:misc_RNA from 1 species